CCUGGGGGGCUGCCCGGGCUCGGGGGAGAAGGAAGGGAGGGAGAAAUGGACCUGUAUUAUGCGUGCCCCCACCCUUUGCAGCGCCUUCCUUGCCCUUCUGCCUAGGACCCUCCUUGUCCAGCGUGAAAGGAGGCUGGAGGGUGACGCGCAAUGGAAAGAGCCCCCCACUGGGGGAUGGCGCAGGGGGAAGCCAGCGCCUGGGGAGCCUGCCCCUCCACGCUGGCCCGGCCCCAGGAGGGGGAAGGGAUGAAGGGAGUCGUUGUCAUUGUGCGAGAUGAGGGGGCAGCCACAUGCACACCCGAGGACGAGGACGACGACAGCAGGCCAGGCAGACUCAAGGACAGGAGCUCUGGACACACCCACAUAGGGACAAGGGAAGAAGCAGGCUGCAGCACCGUGGAGCUCACAGGGGCAGGGGAGGACACACCCACGGAGACAGCAGGCGUGGGUGCACAGACUCACGCCCAGGGUCACCCCGAGAUGCCGUCACACGCAGGGGCAGGGAGGAGUCGCUGUCACCCACACAGAGUCACUGUCGCAUGCAUGCGUGCACACAGCCCCACCGUUACAAAAGACCGUGUCACUCACAGGCACACAUGUGCUCACAUGUGCCCCAUCACGCAGUCCUUAUCGCCCGCCGUGACAGUUGCUGUCACUCCGUCGAACACAAAUGCAGCUACACAUCAACCCCUGUGUACACAACAGAGCAACAGGUAUUUUCUCGGACUCUCAUUGUGGAACGCUGAGGUUCUGUACACAACAAAACCCCUGCCCCCAGGAGGAAAUCAAAUUCCUCUGUAUGAUAAUACUUUCCUGCAUCCUGCUGCAAGACACGCAUUCCCCAGAACGCAGUCUCUCUCACUGCUGCUUUCCUGCCUCCCAGUUUCUAGACGUCAGCUCCCUGACUGAGCCCUGGGAGAAGCACUCGCAGAGAUCUGGAUCCCACCCGAGCCUAGCACAGGGCGUGCUCUGUAAACACUUGUUAAUUGAUUGGCUGUGGGAACUCCAGACACAGGUGCAUACGUUUGCGCCCCUCCCAUGGACUCCGGUGGAGGACACCUGUGUGAGGCGG
rnacentral:lncRNA from 1 species